rnacentral:ncRNA from 1 species
GAAUUGUUUAGUUGUGGCAAYAGAAACCGCAWAGUUCCAACCGCAUAGUAAAUUAAUUUAUAGUUUGCUAGAGUAAUGUUUAUAGUUAUUUUAUAAUAGCGGUGAGUUCUUAAUAUUUUCGUUGUUGUUGCGACAUUAGGAGAACUUUAUAUAGGGAGGAUAAGUCACAGUGCCAGCAUCCGCGGUUAUUCUGUUUCCUUUGGUUUCAUUAAUGGCAUAAAAAUUGAUUUAUGAUUAAAAUUUUUUAGUUAAAUAUGUAAAUUUUAUUAAAUUUUUUAAAUCGAUGUUUUUUAAAGCUUUGUUAAAGUAAGUCAGAUUUGAUACCUGAUUAUCGAGCUAAAUAAAUUAGCGUUAGUAUAAACUAAAACAACUUGGCAGCCAACGAAUCCUAACAGGGGAGGGUGCACUAUAAAAGAUGAUCCGCUAAUUAAUUAACCAGAUUUAAUCAGUUGGUGUACGUCCGGUUAAAUACCCGUAAUGAUAAUUAAUUACGGGUGAAUACAUAGUUAGUUUAAGCCAGGUCAAUGUGCUACUAAUAGUCUGGUAGAUGUUCCCUACAGUAACAUAUUAUAAGAGAGUAGGUCUUAGGUUUAGGACUUGUAAGUAAAAUAGUUGAGUUUGGCUAUUUGAAGGGGGUUUAGUUGGGGUACACACCGCCCGUCAACCUCGGUGAUUAAGCUGAGGUAAGUCGUAACAAGGUAGCCUUUGGGGAACCAGGGGCUUUAGUAAC